UCUACGGGAGGCAGCAGUGGGGAAUAUUGGGCAAUGGGCGCAAGCCUGACCCAGCAACGCCGCGUGAAGGAAGAAGGCUUUCGGGUUGUCAACUUCUUUUAAGAGGGAAGAGCAGAAGCCGGUACCUCUUGAAUAAGCCACGGCUAACUACGUGCCAGCAGCCGCGGUAAUACGUAGGUGGCAAGCGUUGUCCGGGCUUACUGGGUGUAAAGGGCGGGGAGCCGGGAAGACAAGUCUGAUGUGAAAUCCCGCGGCUCAACCAAGGAACUGCAUUUGAAACUGUUUUUCUUGAGUACCGGAGAGGUCAUCGGAAUUCCUUGUGUAGCGGUGAAAUGCGUAGAGAUCACGAAUAACUCCGAUUGCGAAGGCAGCUUACUAAACUGCCACUGACAUUGAUGCUCGAAAGUGUGGGUAUCAAACAGGAUUAGAUACCCCUGUAGUC
rnacentral:rRNA from 1 species